rnacentral:tRNA from 1 species
UCCCUGGAAGUCCAGUGGCUAAGGCUCUGUACUUCCAAUGCAGGGUUGCCUGGGUUCAAUCCCUGGUCAGGGAA